rnacentral:rRNA from 1 species
AUGGCUCAGGAUGAACGCUAGCUACAGGCUUAACACAUGCAAGUCGAGGGGCAGCAGAUCGAAAGCUUGCUUUGAUGCUGGCGACCGGCGCACGGGUGAGUAACGCGUAUCCAACCUUCCCUGUAGUAGAGAAUAGCCCGGCGAAAGUCGGAUUAAUGCUCUAUGUUGUAUUUCGAUGACAUCUGAAGAAUACCAAAGGUUUACCGCUAUAGGAUGGGGAUGCGUCUGAUUAGGUUGUUGGCGGGGUAACGGCCCACCAAGCCCACGAUCAGUAGGGGUUCUGAGAGGAAGGUCCCCCACAUUGGAACUGAGACACGGUCCAAACUCCCACGGGAGGCAGCAGUGAGGAAUGUUGGUCAAUGGACGGAAGUCUGAACCAGCCAAGUAGCGUGCAGGAUGACGGCCCUAUGGGUUGUAAACUGCUUUUAUAUAGGGAUAAAGUCGGGGACGUGUCCCCGUUUGUAGGUACUAUAUGAAUAAGGACCGGCUAAUUCCGUGCCAGCAGCCGC